rnacentral:rRNA from 1 species
UACAAUGGGAAGGGACAAUAGGUUGCGAAGCCGCGAAGGCGGAGCCAAUCCGAGCAAAACUUCCCUCAAGUUCAGAUUGCAGGCUGCAACUCGCCUGCAUGAAGUUGGAGUUGCUAGUAAACGCAGGUCAGCCAUACUGCGUUGAAUACGUUCCCGGGGCUU